CCUACGGGAGGCAGCAGUGGGGAAUAUUGGACAAUGGGGGAAACCCUGAUCCAGCGACGCCGCGUGGGUGAAGAAGGCCUGCGGGUUGUAAAGCCCUUUCGGUAGGGACGAAAACUCUUGCUCUAACAGAGCAGGAGCUUGACUUAACCUACAUAAGAAGCACCGGCUAACUCUGUGCCAGCAGCCGCGGUAAUACAGAGGUGGCAAGCGUUGUUCGGAAUUACUGGGCGUAAAGGGCGCGUAGGCGGCCUCCUAAGUCGGACGUGAAAUCCCAAGGCUUAACCUUGGAACUGCGUCUGAUACUGGGAGGCUAGAGUUCGGGAGAGGGAUGUAGAAUUCCAGGUGUAGCGGUGAAAUGCGUAGAUAUCUGGAGGAAUACCGGUGGCGAAGGCGGCAUCCUGGACCGAAACUGACGCUGAGGCGCGAAAGCUAGGGUAGCAAACGGGAUUAGAUACCCCGGUAGUCCUAGCCCUAAACGAUGAAUACUUGGUGUGGCGGGUAUCGAUCCCUGCCGUGCCGAAGCUAACGCAUUAAGUAUUCCGCCUGGGGAGUACGGUCGCAAGGCUGAAACUUAAAGGAAUUGACGG
rnacentral:rRNA from 1 species